UACGAAGGGGGCUAGCGUUGCUCGGAAUCACUGGGCGUAAAGGGUGCGUAGGCGGGUCUUUAAGUCAGGGGUGAAAUCCUGGAGCUCAACUCCAGAACUGCCUUUGAUACUGAAGAUCUUGAGUUCGGGAGAGGUGAGUGGGAACUGCGAGUGUAGAGGUGAAAUUCGUAGAUAUUCGCAAGAACACCAGUGGCGAAGGCGGCUCACUGGCCCGAUACUGACGCUGAGGCACGAAAGCGUGGGGAGCAAACAGGG
rnacentral:rRNA from 1 species